UAGCCGCAAACCAGUUAACGACUACGGUGCAUAAAUUGGGAAAAACUCACAAAAUGUAUUACCCAUUACCGGAGUAUAAACUGCAAAAUGUUUAGGUGGCAUCAUUAAAUCGCCAAAAAUCACAUCUUCAUUGAAGACUUUAAAAUGUCACACAAUUAAAACAGGAUGUAUCACUUCGUAAGAAUGUGCAAAGUUCACAACAAACUUCGCAGAAGUGGUGGUUUGUGUUCUUUCAAGGUGAGUUUCCGGUAACUCACAUCACUUAAUGAUUGUUGAAGAGGCUGGAAUACAGGGGAGAUGUGUUGUGGAAGUUUGUUUAAAAGAACACCUUAGCAAAUUUUUCAUUUCAAAUAAAAUAGUGUUUCACAGUUGGUUCUUGCACUCGUAUCGAAAUAAUCUGUAGUAAAUAGUUUCCGAAACACACUUUGGAAUUGUAUUGGUGUGGGAUUUAUACAAUUCCAAAUUGACGUCUCACAGAGCCAAACAAAUAUGUCAAACAAUACUGAUUUAGUUGCAGCAACCUUUUAGUGAAAAUUGUAAACAAAUUGUAUUCUGUGAAAACUAUUAAAAAUAAUAAGCAAAAUGUUUAUGUUCCUGAA